UCUUUAAAAAAUUAAAUCAGUAAGCAGACGGUAGGGGAGCAGCAGCUAAAGUAGGAAGAGAAUGUCCGCGAGAGAGAGAGAGAGAGAGAGAGAAGAAGAAGAAGAUACUGUGAAAAGAUUGCUGUUCGCCAGAGUGGAUAGACCGUACAAAGCGUGAUUGUAGUUAAUGGGUUGCAAAGAAGAUAAUCCAAAAACAACUUUGCUUGUGAUUUCACGGUCUAUUUAUCUUAGCUCCAUAAAGAAGGUAUCUCUGAUUGGAUAGCAACACCAUUCAAUUGAACGACCACUAUCAGAUCUCUGAUUAGAAGAAUUUCUUGCAUUUUCAUCUCCCUAAUUUGUUUUUUGUUUUAAUAUUAUCCCAUUUUAAUUUGUUUAUAUAUUGAUUUUGCAGUCGUCCAGCAAAUUACUUCAUCAUCUACCAAGAUCUCAAUUUUCACUUUCUACAAUGAGAGUGGUUUAUCGAAAUGUAAGGUGAGUAUUACUAUGGCCGCCGUGAUUGGAGAAGUUAACGGGUUUCUCAGGAGUUGAAGGCGUUAAUGAAAAAGAAAUGAUGGUGAAGACGACGAUGAGAAUCCGCGUAAAAGUUCUGUUGCUUUUGUGGUGUUCUUCGCCAUCGCAGUGAGAGUUUCUUUGGCUCCUCCUCCAUGGGCGUGGCGCUGGGGGACAGGUGAGCCUAUAGAUUCUCUGCAGUGAGAGAGAGGGGGCCAGAAUUGGAUUUAGGAACCCAAUAAGAAGUAAAAUUUUUCUUUGUAAAGGAAAAAAUAUAAAGAAGUUAAUUCUUUCAAAAUUCUCCGAUACAGGGAAAUGCUUCAGUUUGAAAGUCAUUUGUGCAAUGUAUUUUUCUUUUCAUGUACAAGAGCUCCAUACAAUUUACAUUAUAAAGCUAUCAUGGAUUUCUCUCA